UCUAUCUUUGUCACUGCAGCUCUUCUUUGUCUUAAAGAAGACGAAACAAUUUCUAACGCCUUCUCUCUCUAAAGUCGUCCAUGGGAGUUAGCUUAAAGCGUUGAACCAAAUUAUAGCAUAGAGAAGAAGAAGAAGAAGAAGAAGAAGAAGAAGAAGAAGAAGAACCAGAAAAAGAAUUCUCAAUGUUCUUCCAUUUUGCUUGUGGAACCAUAGUGGUCACUGACUUGCUGGAUUCAGUCGAUGGCAUCAUCGUCCAGAACGCGGAGUAGUUCGCCGUUUUCGCACCGGAAAUCUGUUUCGUCUUCUUCUUCGAGUCAAUCGCCGAGUUCUUUCACGAACGGGAAGAUGAUUCCUCGAUCUUGUUCGAGUUCAGCAUCUUCGCAUUAUGGAAUGAGCAGUGGAUUUGGUUCUAGAUCGAUGGUUAAUGGUGGUGGUUAUGGUGAUUGCUCACCGGUAGGGUUUAUUUCCGAUGAUUUGAUGUCUGAGCCUGUGGAUGAGCCGAGGAACGGGGAUAGCAUUUCUGUGACGAUUCGUUUUCGGCCUUUGAGCGAGAGGGAGUUCCUGAAAGGGGAUGAGAUUGCUUGGUAUGCGGACGGGGACAAGAUCGUACGCAAUGAGUAUAAUCCAGCCACGGCCUAUGGAUUUGAUAAGGUGUUUGGACCAGAUACGAUUUCACCGGAGGUGUAUGAAGUUGCGGCUAAGCCAGUCGUUAAGGCAGCUAUGGAGGGUGUUCAUGGAACGGUAUUUGCUUACGGUGUGACAAGCAGUGGGAAGACGCACACUAUGCAUGGAGAUCAAAACUCUCCAGGGAUCAUACCACUGGCUAUAAAAGAUGUCUUCAGCAUCAUCCAAGAUACUCCUGGAAGAGAAUUCUUGCUCCGUGUAUCUUACCUUGAAAUAUACAACGAAGUGAUAAAUGACUUGCUGGAUCCAACAGGUCAGAAUUUGCGUGUUAGGGAAGAUGCACAGGGCACCUAUGUUGAGGGUAUAAAGGAAGAAGUGGUUUUGUCUCCUGGACAUGCUUUAUCAUUUAUAGCCGCUGGAGAAGAGCAUCGUCACGUUGGAUCAAACAAUUUCAAUCUUUUUAGUAGCCGGAGUCACACCAUCUUUACGCUGAUGAUUGAAAGUAGUGCACGUGGCGAUGAGUAUGAUGGUGUCAUCUUCUCUCAACUUAACUUGAUAGAUUUAGCUGGGUCGGAGAGCUCAAAGACCGAAACUACUGGACUGAGGAGAAAGGAAGGAGCCUAUAUAAACAAAAGCCUUUUGACUCUUGGAACAGUUAUUGGGAAAUUAAGCGAGGGAAAGGCAUCCCAUGUUCCUUAUCGAGAUUCUAAGCUUACCCGUCUUCUUCAAUCCUCACUCAGUGGGCAUGGACACGUUUCACUCAUUUGCACUGUAACUCCUGCAUCCAGUAACAUGGAGGAAACUCACAAUACAUUGAAGUUUGCUAGCAGGGCCAAACGAGUUGAAAUCUAUGCCUCGCGCAAUAAGAUAAUUGAUGAAAAGUCUUUGAUAAAGAAGUAUCAGACAGAAAUUUCAAUCCUCAAGCAAGAACUUGAUCAAUUAAAGAGGGGGAUGCUGGCUGGUGUUAAUCAUGAGGAGAUAAUGAAUUUAAGGCAGCAGUUGGAAGAAGGUCAAGUGAAAAUGCAAUCAAGAUUAGAAGAAGAGGAAGAAGCUAAGGUUGCUCUCAUGAGUAGGAUUCAGAGGCUGACUAAACUCAUACUUGUCUCUUCUAAGAAUUCUAUUCCUGGAUGUUUGAGUGACGUUCCUAGUCAUCAAAGGAACAAAUCUUCUUUUGAUGAUAAGGUUGAGGUCACCCAAGGGUUACUUUCCGGAAGUGAGAAUCAAAAUGAUCUAUCUUCAAUUGUUCACUCAGAUCAGUUGAACGGUGAACUCUUACCAGCUGAUAGUACAAUCACUGGAUCAUCUAACGGCGAGAUGACAAUGUCAGAUCAGAUGGAUCUACUGGUCGAGCAAGUUAAGAUGCUUGCUGAAGAGAUUGCGUUUGAAACCAGUGCACUGAAACGUUUGAUUGAGCAAUCUGUUGAUGAUCCUGAUGGUUCUAAAGUUCAAAUCCAGAACUUAGAACAAGAAAUUCAAGAAAAAAAGAGGCAAAUGAGAGCUUUGGAACAACGAAUUAAUGAGGGUAGCGAGCCUUCAAUUUCUAGUGCAUCGAUGGUUGAAAUGCAGCAGACUGUUACAAGAUUAAUGACUCAGUGCGGUGAAAAGGAAUUUGAGCUUGAGCUCAAAAAGGCAGACAACCGUGUUCUUCAAGAGCAAUUGCAGAACAAGUGUGCAGAGAACAGAGAAUUACAGGAGAAAGUAGAACUCUUAGAGCAUCAAUUGGCUUCAGUUACUAGCAAUAAAGUGUCAACUUCAUCUGAAAAUUGUCUUCCAGAAAAAUAUGUAGAAGAAUUCAAAAAGAAGAUUCAAUCUCAGGAGAUAGAGAAUGAGAAACUGAAAUUGGAAUCAGUUCACUUUUCAGAAGAGAUCAGUGGGUUACAUGUACAGAAUCAAAAACUGGCAGAAGAAGCUUCUUACGCAAAGGAGCUAGCCUCUGCUGCUGCUGUUGAGCUGAAAAAUUUAGCAGCUGAAGUCACGAAGCUCUCCUUACAAAAUGCAAAAUUAGAAAAGGAGUUAUUGAGUGCGCGAGAAUUGGCCCACUCUAAGAAUACACAGAAUAAUCUCAGUGGAAAUCGCAAGUACAAUGAUGGUUCAAAACCUGGAAGGAAAGGAAGGCUCUCUGGCCGGUCUAUUGAUGUUUCAGCAGCAACCAGUGAUGAUUUUGAAUCUUGGAAUCUUGAUCCAGAUGACUUAAAAAUGGAACUUCACGCAAGGAAACAAAGAGAGGAGGCCCUUGAGGCUGCUUUAGCUGAAAAGGAGCUCCUAGAAGAUGAUUACCGAAAGAAAAUGGAAGAGGCAAAGAAAAGGGAAGUGUCUCUUGAAAAUGAUUUAGCCAAUAUGUGGGUACUGGUUGCCAAGUUGAAGAAAGAGGCCGGAGGUGGAGCUAUUUCAGAUGUUAAAAGUGAUGCAAGGCAGAAUUCUGGAACAGAAAAUGAUAUCGAUUCAAAGACGAAUGAUAAUGAAACAAUAGCCAUCUUUAAAGAAGAUGCUGAUCCAGUUGAUGAUUCGAAAAAAUCUGAAGAAUCCCAUGAGGAGGAACCUCUGGUUGUUCGCCUAAAGGCACGGAUGCAAGUGAUGAAGGAAAAGGAUCUAAAGUGCCUAGAAAAUGUAGAUACGAAUUCACACAUGUGUAAAGUAUGUUUUGAAUUGCCAACUGCAGCAAUUCUUCUUCCAUGUCGACAUUUUUGUUUAUGUAAAUCUUGUUCACUUGCCUGUUCUGAGUGUCCAAUCUGUCGGACAAAGAUUGUAGAUAGGCUCUUUGCAUUUACUUCUUGACAUGUUCUUCCAUGCCUGCCUUUCCCCACAAGGAAUUCAAUAUUGAAUCUACAAUGCGACGGAGGACUAGAUUCUUCUAUUUGAUUUGCUUUACAUGCAACUGUACAAAAAGAACCUUUUGCCUUGUGGAUCUCUGCCCCUGUUCAAUUCAUGCAGAUUUGGAAAAGGGUUUGUUUUUGUUUUUGUUUUCUUGCACUAUAUACCUUUAUUCUACUACUAUCUUAAUAUUUAUUCAAGGCUGUCAUUAAACGAUGUCGUUUUAUACGGACUUUCUAGAGAGAGAAAGAUAAGGAUAAAGAUAAAAGAGAGUGGAAAUUUAAGGAAUGAACAACGUAGGGCUGCAGCUGAGCUUGCAGGAAUAUUGUUGGGAAUUUCUCAAAGUAAGCAUUUAAUGCAACUUAAUAAAUGUCUGGCUUUGUUCUUUGUA